CGGACAGGGAGGGCGGGAGGCAGGCAGGGAGGGAAGGAGGACGAGGACGAGGCGAGCGAUGUGGCGCGGCCGCGCUGGCUGAAGCGAGAAUCCCAGUAGCUAGGCAGCCUCCCUCUUUUCUUUCCUUCCUUCCUUCCACCUCUUCGUUAUGUAGGAAGGGAGAGGCAUCAAUGGAAAGGCUGAGAUACGCGUAGAUGGACUUUCGGAUGCAUUUUUUGUUGAAAGAGGAAGAUAAAUCCCGCUUGCCAGUGCACUGACUUUUGUUGGUGUUGCAUCGCUUGUUAAAAAUGGGGUUCACUCGCUCCAGCUGAAUCCUUGGAGCAUUCCAGAGAGUUGCUGCAGUGAAGGACUUAUCUCGAUUUUCUGCAUCAGAGGAGCUGCAUUGAUGUUAACCAUUUUUUUGUAAAAUGGAGAACGAGAUCUUCACACCCCUUCUGGAGCAGUUCAUGUCGAGCCCUCUUGUCACCUGGGUGAAGACGUUCGGACCGCUGGCUGGAGGAAAUGGGACCAACCUGGAGGAAUAUGUGGCGCUGGUGGAUGGAGUGUAUCUGAACGAAGUCAUGCUGCAAAUCAAUCCAAAGUCUGCUAAUCAGAGGAUAAACAAAAAAGUGAACAAUGAUGCAUCAUUAAGGAUUCAAAAUUUGUCUAUUUUGGUGAAACAAGUCAAAACUUACUAUCAGGAGACUUUGCAGCAGUUGAUCAUGAUGUCUUUGCCAAAUGUGCUAAUAAUUGGCAAAAAUCCUUUUUCUGAGCCAGGUACUGAAGAAGUAAAAAAGCUCCUCCUGCUUUUGCUUGGUUGUGCAGUUCAGUGUCAGAAAAAAGAAGAAUUUAUUGAAAGAAUCCAAAGUCUGGAUUUUGAUACCAGAGCAGCUGUUGCAGCCCAUAUUCAGGAGGUAACUCAUAAUCAGGAAAAUGUGUUUGACCUGCAGUGGAUGGAUGUCAUAGUGCUGACACAAGAGUAUGUUGAGCCUCUCCUGAAAAAUAUGGCAUUGCAUUUAAAAAGGCUUAUAGAUGAAAGAGAUGAGCACUCAGAGACCAUCAUUGAGCUGUCGGAGGAGCGGGACUGCCUGCGCUUCCUGCCGCACGCCUCGGCCGCGCAGUCGCCGUGCGGCUCCCCCGGCAUGAAGCGCACCGAGAGCCGGCAGCACCUGAGCGUGGAGCUCGCCGACGCCAAGGCCAAGAUCAGGAGGCUCAGGCAGGAGCUUGAGGAAAAGACUGAGCAGCUGCUUGACUGUAAACAAGAGCUGGAACAGAUGGAAGCUGAACUGAAGAGACUUCAGCAAGAGAACAUGAACCUGCUGUCGGACGCGCGCUCUGCCCGCGUGUACCGGGACGAGCUGGACGCGCUGCGCGAGAAGGCGAUCCGCGUGGACAAGCUGGAGAGCGAAGUCAGCCGCUACAAGGAGAGGCUCCAUGACAUUGAGUUCUACAAAGCCAGGGUGGAGGAGUUGAAGGAAGACAAUCAAGUGUUGCUAGAAACCAAGACAAUGUUGGAAGAUCAGUUGGAGGGGACCCGAGCUCGAUCAGAUAAACUGCACGAGUUAGAAAAGGAGAAUUUACAGCUGAAGGCUAAACUGCAUGACAUGGAGAUGGAGCGUGAUAUGGACAGAAAGAAGAUUGAGGAGCUCAUGGAGGAAAACAUGACCCUAGAAAUGGCUCAGAAACAAAGUAUGGAUGAGUCUUUGCACCUUGGCUGGGAGCUGGAGCAGAUAAACAGGACUACUGAACUUUCUGAAGUGCCACAGAAAUCACUGGGCCAUGAGGUGAAUGAGCUGACAUCCAGCAGGUUGCUGAAGCUGGAAAUGGAAAACCAAAGUUUGCUGAAGACUGUGGAAGAGCUGCAAAGUGCAGUGGGCUCUGUGGAAGGCAGCAGCUCAAGGAUUCUGAAAAUGGAAAAAGAAAACCAAAGACUUAGCAAGAAGCUUGAAGAGCUGGAGAAUGAAAUUAGCCAAGAGAAACAAAGUCUUCAGAACAGUCAAAAUCAGAGUAAAGAUUUGCUGAAGGAAAAAGCCCAGCUUGAAAAGACACUUGAAGCACUUCGAGAGAACUCCGAGCGACAAAUUAAACUCUUAGAACAAGAAAAUGAACACUUGAAUCAAACCGUGGCUUCUCUAAGGCAGCGCUCACAAAUCAGUGCUGAGGCAAGAAUGAAAGAAAUUGAGAAGGAAAAUAAAAUCCUCCAUGAGUCUAUCAAAGAGACCAGCAGUAAGUUAAAUAAAAUGGAAUUUGAAAAAAAACAAGUCAGGAAAGAACUGGAACACUACAAAGAGAAAGGGGAGAGGGCAGAAGAAUUAGAGAGCGAGGUCCAUCGUCUGGAGAAGGAAAAUGAGUUAUUGCAGAAGAAAAUCACCAACCUAAAAAUCACUUGUGAGAAGAUUGAGGCCUUAGAACAAGAGAACUCUGACCUAGAGACAGAGAACAGAAAGCUGAAAAAAACCUUGGAUAGCCUGAAAAACCUCACUUUUCAAUUGGAAUCCUUAGAAAAGGAGAAUUCCCAACUGGAUGAAGAAAAUUUAGAGUUACGGAGGACAAUCGAAUCCUUGAAGUGUACGAGCAUUAAAGUGGCACAGUUACAGUUAGAAAAUAAGGAGCUGGAGAGUGAAAAGGAGCAGCUCAAAAAAAGCCUUGAGCUGAUGAAAGCCUCUUUUAAAAAGACUGAACGCUUGGAAGUCAGUUACCAAGGCUUGGACACAGAAAACCAAAGGCUACAGAAAGCCCUGGAAAACAGCAAUAAGAAAAUUCAGCAAUUAGAGAGUGAAUUACAAGAUUUAGAGACUGAAAAUCAAACCUUGCAAAAGAACUUGGAAGAGUUAAAAAUCUCCAGUAAGCGCCUGGAGCAGUUGGAAAAGGAGAAUAAGUUGUUAGAACAAGAGACUUCUCAACUGGAAAAGGAUAAGAAACAGCUGGAAAAGGAAAAUAAAAGGCUUCGACAGCAAGCAGAAAUUAAAGAUAGUACCUUGGAAGAAAAUAAUGUCAAAAUCAGUAAUCUGGAAAGGGAAAAUAAAUCUCUGUUUAAAGAAAUAGUUGUGUAUAAAGAGUCCUGUCUGCGCCUGAAGGAGCUGGAAAAGGAAAACAAGGAGCUGGUGAAAAGAGCUACCAUUGAUAAGAAAACCCUGGUCACUUUGAGAGAGGACUUGGUGAAUGAGAAAUUGAAGACUCAACAGAUGAACAAUGAUCUGGAAAAACUGGCCCAUGAGCUUGAGAAAAUUGGCUUGAACAAGGAGCGUCUCCUGCACGAUGAGCAGAGCAGUGAUGACAGUAGGUACAAGCUUUUGGAGUCUAAAUUAGAAUCCACGCUCAAGAAGUCUCUGGAAAUAAAAGAAGAAAAAAUUGCUGCUUUGGAGGCUCGUUUGGAGGAAUCAACAAAUCUGAACCAGCAGCUGCGUCAGGAGCUGAAAACAGUGAAGAAGAACUACGAAGCUCUGAAGCAGAGACAAGAAGAGGAAAGGAUGGUUCAGAAUUCUCCUCCAAGAAGUGGAGAAGGAAAUCAGUCUGUCAAUAAGUGGGAGAAAGAAAAUCAGGAGACUACUAGAGAAUUACUGAAAGUUAAAGAUAGAUUAAUCGAGGUGGAGAGGAAUAACGCGACGCUGCAGGCGGAGAAGCAGGCGCUGAAAACGCAGCUCAAGCAGCUCGAGACACAGAACAACAACCUGCAGGCCCAGAUCCUGGCCCUGCAGAGACAGACUGUGUCCCUGCAGGAGCAGAACACAACUCUGCAAACUCAGAAUGCCAAGCUGCAGGUUGAGAACUCCACGCUGAACUCACAGAGCACGUCGCUGAUGAACCAGAACGCGCAGCUGCUGAUCCAGCAGUCGGCCCUGGAGAGCGAGAACGAGGCGGUGCUGAAGGAGCGCGAGGACCUGAAGGGGCUCUACGAGGCCCUGCUCAAGGACCACGAGCGCCUGGAGCAGCUGCACGAGCGCCAGGCCGCCGAGUACGAGUCCCUGAUCGCCAAGCACGGCAGCCUCAAGGCUGCCCACAAGAACCUGGAGGUGGAGCACAAGGACUUGGAGGAUAGGUACAACCAGUUGCUGAAACAGAAAGUGCAGCUGGAAGAGCUGGAGAAGGUUCUCAAGACAGAGCAGGACAAAAUGCUGCAGCAAAGUGAGAAGCAUGAAACUGUGGCAGCAGAAUAUAAAAAACUUCGGGAUGAAAAUGAAAGGCUCUCUCACACAUACACUCAGCUCCUGAGGGAGAAUGAAGUGCUGCAGACUGACCACAAGAAUCUGAAAACAUUGUUGAACAGUUCCAAACUGGAGCAAACACGGUUGGAAGCUGAGUUUUCCAAACUCAAAGAACAGUACCAGCAACUGGAUAUUACAUCAACAAAGCUGAAUAAUCAGUGUGAGCUGCUCAGCCAACUGAAAGGAAACCUGGAGGAGGAAAACAGACACCUGCUGGAUCAAAUCCAGACCUUAAUGCUGCAGAACAGAACAUUACUGGAGCAGAACAUGGAAAGCAAGGAUCUGUUCCAUGUAGAGCAAAGGCAGUACAUUGACAAACUAAAUGAAUUGAGGCGGCAGAAGGAGAAACUGGAGGAGAAGAUAAUGGAUCAGUAUAAAUUCUAUGAGCCAUCUCCACCAAGAAGAAGGGGCAACUGGAUCACGCUGAAGAUGAGGAAGCUGAUCAAGUCCAAGAAGGACGGGAACCGCGAGCGCCUCAAGUCGGUGACGCUGACGCCCACGCGCUCCGAGUCCAGCGAGGGAUUCCUGCAGCUGCCCCACCAGGACAGCCAGGACAGCUCCUCCGUGGGCUCCAACUCCCUGGAGGAUGGGCAGACCCUGGGCACCAAAAAGAGUAGCAUGGGUGCACUGAAAAGACUGCCCUUUUUGAGGAACAGACCGAAGGAAAAAGACAAAAUGAAGGCCUUCUACCGUCGCUCCAUGUCCAUGAAUGACCUGGUGCAGUCCAUGGUCCUGGCAGGAGGACAAUGGACAGGUAGUUCUGAGCAUCUGGAGGGUCCUGAUGAUAUAUCCACGGGUAAAAGGAGGAAGGAAUUGGGAGCUAUGGCCUUCUCUACUACAGCUAUCAACUUUGCCACUGUCAACUCCUCCACAGGCUUCAGAUCCAAGCAGUUGCUAAAUAAUAAAGAUACUACAUCCUUUGAAGAUGUAAGUCCACAAGGUAUUAGUGAUGAUUCUAGUACAGGAUCAAGAGUUCAUGGAGUACAGGACUUUAUCUGUGCAGAUGCUCUUGCUCCUCCUGUCCGUGGCCUCCCAGCCCUGUGCAGGGUUCCCUGUCAGAUCUGUUUGCCCUUUUCCAAAGUGUCCUCUUGGACCACCUGGAAAUUCCUUCGCUUUCUGAUCUCUUCCAGACCAGCCAGCCUUGAUAGUGGCAGGACAUCCACUAGCAAUAGCAAUAACAAUGCUUCACUCCAUGAAGUCAAAGCAGGUGCAGUGACCAGCCAGAGCAGGCCCCAGAGCCACAGCAGUGGGGAGUUCAGCCUGCUCCAGGAGCACGAGGCCUGGUCCAGCAGCAGCAGCAGCCCCAUCCAGUACCUGAAGGGCCACACCAGGUCCAGCCCCGUGCUCCAGCACAGGACACCUGAGAGCCACAGCAAGCCCCCCAAAACGGGCUCCCCUGGCAGUGAAGUGGUCACCCUGCAGCAGUUCCUGGAGGAAAGCAACAAGAGUAACUCCAGUGAGAUGAAGUCUGCAAGUGAGGAGAACCUUUUAGAUGAAGUGAUGAGGAGCUUGUCCGAGUCUGCGGAGCUGGCAGGGAGGGAGAAGCUGCGGAAGCAGCCGGCGGCUGGCUGUGGGAUCGUGAGAUCCCUGAGUGUCAGAACCACGGGGGAUUUCUCAGAUGGACGAUCCCUCAAAGCAGAGCAGCUGGUGAGGCCCAGCCUCAGGAAGGCUGAGGAUCUCUACUUCAGCAGCUCUCCCAUCAAAUUCAGCUCCGGCGCCCAGGGGAAGCCCCGCUCCGUGAAGGAAAAGAUCCAAGCAACGGUGACCCAGCGACAAUCCAGGGACUGCAACCCCUACGCCACCUUACCUCGUGCCAGCAGCGUCAUUUCCACGGCAGAAGGCAGCACCCGAAGGACAAGCAUCCAUGAUUUUUUGUCUAAGGACAGUAGGCCGCCCGUGCCCGUGGAUGCAGCCCCAGCCCCGGCCGACAGGAGUGCUCCGCCCAGCUCCAGUGAGUACUCGGCUCUGCGGGUGUCCUCUCCUUGUGUUCACGGUGUGCCUGCCCGGGGGGAGCGCGGCCCGCAGGGAGAGGCGGCUCCCACGCUCACAGCGCGCCCUGUAGGAGGUAACUCUGAGCUGGCCAAGCCUUCCAGGAUGGAAAGGCCAGGUGGUCGGGAGAGGACUUUGCCGAGCGCGGGCGCGUUCUGGGAUAAAGCCAGCGGGGCUGGGAGUGGCAGUGCAGGGUCCUUCACUGCGCCCCAGCCCUUCCUAUCCCUCAACACCGAGUUAGUCAGCAAUAUCAGUGGGUUGCCCCCGAGAUCCACCUCCAAAACAGCUGACCAGGCAAACGUGUCAGCGUUCAGGUCAGUGCUGAGGAGCCAGGAGCAGCCUUGUGCUGCUCCAAAGGCCCAGGGUGACCCACGGGCAGCUCUGACCGGGGACCCUGUCCCUGCCCCCGGCCCCACUGAGGCCCAGUCCCCACUGCUGGUCUCAGAAGAUAACCAGACCCUGUGGUAUGAGUAUGGCUGUGUAUGAAGGAAAGCUGUAUUAUUAAAUAUUUAUGUCUAACAUGCCAUAAAGGUGUUCUCCAUGUCCACUGGAUGACAGAGGAAACUUCCCUCCAAUGAAGGAAUCAUUGCUGUUUAUCCGCGGGGUGGUUGUUCCCUGUGGACUCUGUGGCAUGUUUGAAUGUGGAAUUGUAACCCCACCAAAGUCUGCAUGAACCAUUAAUUGCACUGUGUAUAUUUUGCAUGCCUUUAUAAUACAAGCUCUAUUUUUAUUUGUCAUGCAUUGCAAAUAUUUUGGUGUUUUCCUGUUGGUUACUGCUGCAUGUUAAAGCGAGCGCAUGCCCGGGACGGUGCAGGGAGCAGCAUUCCUGGGACAAGGACAGCACUGGCAGGGGAGAUCGAGCUCUCAGGGCUCUCAGUAAUACACUAAUUAUCUACCUAGAGGGAAAAAAACCUUUUUGUUCUUCUUUCAAAAAUGAGGUAUUAAUGGAAAGAAGCAUUUGGAGAUAUCUCAGUGUCUUCUUAGCCUUUUCAUUUAUGCUGUGUCAUGGCAUAAAUGCACAAGGAACAAGUGCCCAGUAAUCCAAAUAAUUCAGUGCCUCUAGUUUGCACAGUAAAUAUUAAUUACUGUCCAUACUGAGUAAUAAACACACAAGGCCAUUCAUAAUCCUGAACAGAAAUGAGAAUUCUUACAAAGAGGUGAUAAAUAGUUGCAUGACACACAGCACUUGUCAUGAAAAAAUGACCUUUUCCACCUUUUCCCUGUGGUCUGCUUUGUCGUUCCAGUUGUGGGUACAGUUGUGGUGAAGUGUUUGGUUUUAUCAGGGGUCAAAUAACAGGCUCCUUGUGAUGCAUAGGAAUAAAAAACUGUCUUGAGUAUGGUGGAAAUUCAUUUUUUCUUGUCAAUGGAAGUACCACUGAUGUAAUAAAAAACAAAUGGUGUAACAAAAUAGCAGAAAAUGUUAAAUUAAUGCAGUUAAAUAAAAGAAAAAAUAACAAAGUUGCUUGCAAGGUUAUGGGAGGAUAUGAAUACUUCAGCAAAUAACUCCUUAAAUUCCAGAUGAGCAGCUAAAGAGAAAUGUUGAAAAGUAAUUAGUUAAUGUGCCACUGGCUCUGCACAUGCUUGGAACUUGUCAAUGGUAAAUUCAAAGAGAGUUUAAAAUUGUAUCAGAUUUGAGGUAUAAUUACACUAGGAUUUGGACAUGAGCACUUCUUUGCAAGAGGACAUUGUUUAUGGCAGUUACAAAAAAUUGGAAUGACAGUAUAGCUAGAGGAAAAAUAAUUAAAAUUGAAAAUAUAUAUUGAAAACAAGUGUCACGUUCUGUUUUGUACAAUUGCAUUUAUUCUGCCAGCAGUUUUGUGGCAGUCACAGAACCACUGUGUGGGCUGAACUUUUAAUUCCUUAGCGCUUAGUUAGGGAGGGGCAGUGAAUCCAUAGCUCCCAAGGAAGAGCAGCAGAUAUCCCAUGUGGGAGUCUGGAAGGGCUCUGUUUUGUGUGGGAUGGGAAGCCCUGCAGUUCAUGAACAAGGGGAGGAUACUGAAUGCGUGUGGAGAAUAAAAUGUUGUUUGGAGGAUGUGGCACAGUCCUUCCCCAGGUCUGCACCACUUGUUGUUAUUGGGCUGAUAAAUCUCUCACUUCUCCCAGCACUGGGCACAGUCAGUUAUUGCUGUGUUCCCUCUGGAACUAUCUCAGCAGCAAAAGAAUGAGAAAUCUGAGCUAUAUAAUCUCAAUUCCACACAUGUUUACUCUCACAGAGCAAGACCAGUGUUCUAGUCUUGGGUUAUGCCAUUUUACUUCAGUUCAUCUGUAGUUGUGUUGGGAUUAGGUUGGAGGUGAGGAGCACCAGCAUCCCAAGUGAUGUGUGCACAAGGCGUUUUGCAAGUUGUUUAAAGAAUUGCAAUCCUAGAGAGCCCUUAAUGCAAACUCAUCCUGAGCUGCCAGGCUCUGGCUUUUCUUCCCUGUGCCCUGCAGAGCCACUGCUCAGAACAAGGUGUGCAGCUGCUUUAGGUCAGCUCUGGCUGCAGAAGCCUCAGGUGUGCUGUUGCCUCCUCCUCUUGCUUAGGUUCUUAGACAGUCACACCUACAAAAACUCCCAGUAUUGUCCUCAGCUUCCCUCUGAAACCCCAAGGGCUUUGGAAUGGCCAGACAGGAGUGUCCUGGAGCACCAGUGUCUCCAGUCUGCUGGAGCUGGAGACUAACCUUGUCCAGCUCAAGGCACUCUGCUCUGAUUUGUAAAUUUGCAAGGAAUUGCAUUUCAGUUCUGAGGAUAAUAACUUGUUUUGUUCCACUGAGUUCAGCAGCAGCAGAAUGAUCUGCAAGAGAGUGUUUAAUGGCUCUGAAUAAUGUCUUAUCAACAUUUGUUUGUUACAUAUGAAAAAAAGAAAAUGUUGUCAUGGACAGAAGGAUCUUUUUUCUCCUUCACAUUUUGGAUGUUUGUGGAUGUCUGUCUCUGUUCAAGUAGUGGAAGGUUCCAUGGAAUUCUUUCCAUUCCCAAUCCCUGCUGCUCCUCAGCCCCAUGUGCAUGGCAGGAUGGAGCCCCUUGCUCAUUCCUUGUUCCUGCUGCCUUGGGCAGUGCUGAGUUAGGGCUUUGCAUGAUACUGAUAAACACUAAAUGUGUGGCUGCUGCCCAGAAAGGUUUUGUUGUUCAGCUCAGCCAUUUGCUCACAGUUGAGGUUUGCCUGGCUCAGGGUUUGCUUGAUGCUUUGCUUUCAGUGACUGGUGAGUUCAGAUCUGCAUUUUGCAUGUUUGAGCUGUUGCAUGCAAAGACAGUUUUGUGGUUGUGGAGCUGAAUGUGAAUGUUCCUGUCGGUGUGCAGCAGGUCAAAACACAGUGAAAGAAGUUCUCUGCUAGGGCCAGUCAGCUGUGAUUGCACCUCAUUAUUGCUUUUUAUCUCCAUUCAUGCAGAAAUGUAGGGUUGGUGUAGCUAAAGGUGACAUGUAUCUGACUGUGGCUUUAGGAAUAACACCUGGCUGCUGUAAGUGCUGAGAUGAAUGUCAGUGAGUGUAGCUGAGCAGGCACUUGCAGUGAGUUUCUUCUGUCCCUCUCCUCUGUCCUUUCCUCCUAAAAACAACCAGGAAGUGUUCAUGUAUCCUUUUGCUCUCCUAAUGAGUAGAAUGUGUUUUAAUGCAUGAGGGUUUUUUUCAUGUCCUGAUAAACACAAUGAAUAACUUGAAAUGCUUUUCUCUGCAGAUGUGGAAGCUAUCCCAGAAAGCAGAAAUUCAAAAAGCAGGUCUAGGGAGCAACAAAGCUCCUAAUUCUAUUACCCACUACCUGAGCUGUGGGCCAAGUGAGAGAAAAGUGUCCUUCAGUAUCUCAGUGUGAAGCCUUUAUAUCUGAAGUAACAAGACAGCGACUGUAGGAAUCAUUAAUAAAAAAUUAAGGGAAUUUUUUACAUUCUUCGUGACUAGAGCAGGCAAGAAAUAAAAACCUACCUACCUACCUUCCUUCCUUCCUUGAAUCAAGGAGCUCUACUGGAGUCUACUGCCGAAAAUGUGUAGAUGGUCUUAGGAAUUAUUGCACAUUGCACUGUUAAGAUCUACUGAAUAAAGGACAGUUCUCAUCUCCCUAAGGACCAAGGAUUUUAAGGUCUCAAGAAUUACUCCAGGGCAAAAAAUAAAAAAAAAAACAAAACAAAACUUCUUUUAUCUUCUGUUUUUGAAAUUAGCCACUGAUUUGCUUAAGCUUCUGCUAAUAAUUAGCCAAACCCCCCCAAAGCUAGCAGUUUCUAUUUACGUCUGUAAAUCUAAAGGAAAUGCUGUAGAAUUUUGUUGAAAUGGACUGUAUAUACAGAUACAAAAACCUCACAGCUACUGGCACUUCACUGCCUUAUUUGGUUAGCAUAAUCUGCAUGAAAUUGCUCUUAAGAAAGUUUAUGCUGAUUUUUGUUGCAUACUGCAAGAGAAGAAUUUGUUUACAUCCAUGCAAAAGCUUGGUAACUAACAGAAGUGGGAGUCAUGGGAUAAUGGUAUUAUAGAGACAUUGUUUGUCCUUUGUGUUUUUCACAUUCCCCAGUUACUCUGCAUAUGUAUGUUCAGAUGUUUCUGACAGGAAAUUGUCGGGUAUGGUUUUUCUAUAACUUUUAUUUUAAUACAAGGCUGUUUUCCACAAAUGCCAUUUCCAGGAAAAGACUGUCUUACAUUGUUUGUGUAUUGACUAAUUUUUUUUUUUUUACUGUUUGUCUUCUGACAUGAGCUGAUUGUGGCUUAGGAGGUUUCUUGAUGGCAAAAAGAAAUGUAAAUAAUAUCAUAUGCAUUUUACAUUCAGUUCCCUCUAAGGUUAUCUUUUACUAGAUAUAUUUUGUUCAUUAUUGAUUUAUAUUAAAGUCAACAAACAUUAUUGGUACAUUUGGUGGUCGCAUAUAUUUGUCUGGAAAGAUUUGCAGCGAGCUCAGAGGAAGAUGAUGGGAACUGAGAUCCAAAACAAGUUGUUCCAUUUUAUUAAAGCCAGUAAGCACAUUCCUGUUCCUCAUGUAAAGGACUGAGUUCCCUGUGUCACCUCCGAGUGUCCAGCAGGAGGUGCACAAUGUCACCUGCAGCUUCCUCAGAAGGUGAGCCCACUGCUGAAGGCAGUUCAACACAUUCAGAAGCUUGAAAUCGUCUCACAAAAGGGAAGAAAGAGGCAUGCACAAUAAGCUUUAGAAGGGGAGAUUUUCUGUUUGUUUUCUUGAAAAUGAGUUUCUUCUGAAAUUUUCUUUGGGAUAAAAUGGGCUAAAAGAUCUGUACUAAGGGCAUAGCGGGUAUGGCAGACAAUUCAAAGGCCAUAAAGAUCAGGAAAAUCUCUCUUCACUCUGAAUGACUGUGGGUUCAAGCUCAUUUCAGGACCUGGGUUCUCCUCACUCUCUGCUGACAGAGGACUGAGCAGCUCAAACCCCCAGCCAGAACCAUUUCUCACAUUACUGUUACAGAACCAUGCAGGGCUUGAACCAGGAGAUGGAAACUGCAGUGCCAAAUGCUGCCAGGAUCCCAGCUGGGUGCCUGUGUCUGGGGACUGUCACUGUCACUGCUUUGGCACACACUGCUGUGUGUGGAGCACUGCUGGGCAGUGUCAGUGCCCUCAGCACAGCUGGAUGUGCCCUUUCCAUCACACAGGGAUCCCCUCCUGCUCCACUGGCCAGCUCAGCUCUUCUCAAGCUGCUGCUUUUGCUUUGCUUUGCUUUGCUUUGCAGAGAAGUUCCCUGGCACUGGAGCAGUCAGGUGGCUCUCUGUGCUCUGCCAGUUCCCCUUUCCUUCUUCCUUUCUUCACCUUCCCACUCUGUGCCCUUAAAGGGAAAUACAAAAAACCAAAUUUAACCUGGGAGCAGUUUCAGUUCCUGCUGCUCCCAAUGCCAGGGAUGCACAUGGCAGCUUUGUACCCCAGGAAUGCCAACCCCAGCACUGCCAGUUCCAGGUCACAGAGGAGGUUCUCAUGCCAUACAAUGUGUGUGUUCUAUUUGCUUUUCUGAUAGUCUCUGAGGAUUUAGUAACAUUCCCAGCACCUAUUGUUAUUAUCAUUAUUUCUAAAUUUUGUCCAGGACAUGAUGCAGCCUAACAAAGGGAGCUCAUGUGUGAUUUUUAGGGGUAGCUGAUGAUGUAUAUGUAAAUAAUGCUUUGAUAUUAAUAAAACUGCCUUAAAGGAAUGUACCGAGGUGUGAAUCAGAACUUAAAAAGCUCUUAUUUAAAACUGUAAUUUCCUUUACAUAUUGAUUUUUUUAAUGUUUGCCAUUGUAUACAUUUAUUAAUGAUGUUAUUAAAAUGCCAAACCAAAUAAUUUUUAUUCUUAUUUUGUGUGUGUAUAUUUAUACACACUUUUUUCUGGAAACUGAUGUUACUGGAAGGGUAUUGGUGUCGUGGUGAUGUGUGCAGUGAGUAUUUCUUCUGGAAGGAAACUGAUAAAACUGUAGCAGAAUUUUUCUGGA